rnacentral:sRNA from 1 species
UUCCCUUUUCACCGGUAUUCGCGGAUAAUACGCCCCCGGUUUGCCACCGGGAACUCAGGAGAUUUCAUGUA